rnacentral:misc_RNA from 1 species
UAAGCCAUCUAUAUAUAUAAUACAUACCAUGAAAUGACAAAGUGACAAAGUAGAGUGUAAGAGCUUAUUAUAUAGUGAACAAUUCUCUCUUUUAGAUCACAAAUCCCUUGAACAAACAAAGCAAAAACCAAAUCAUUUUUCUAAGUUAAAAAAAAAAAAUCUGAUUUUUGUUUUUCUUACUGGAAAAAAGCUUCUUUUUUUUCCUUUCUUCAUCAUCUGGGUUCUAAAAUAAAUCAAGAUUCAGGAUUUUGAUUUUGUAGUUUGAGUAAAAAGGGGGUUGAUGGCUACUCGUAAUUUGGAGAAAUUUGCAUCUAUAGAUGCACAGAUGAGGCUUUUGGUACCUACUAAGGUGUCUGAAGAUGAUAUGCUUGUUGAGUAUGAUGCUUUGCUUUUGGAUCGAUUUCUUGAUAUUCUUGAGGAUUUGCAUGGAGAGGGUAUCAAAACAACAGUCCAAGAAUGUUAUGAGCUUUCUGCUGAGUAUGAAAACACGCAUGAUAAGAAGAAGCUGGAGGAGCUUGGCAGUGUGUUGACAACUUUGGAUCCAGGGGAUUCAAUUGUUGUUGCUAAGUCGAUAUCCCAUAUGCUUAACAUGGCCAACUUGGCUGAGGAGGUUCAGAUUGCCAACAGUGGGAGGGCAAAGUCGAAAAAGGGCGAACUUUCAGAUGAGAGCAACUUGAUGACUGAAUCCGACAUUGAAGAAACACUCAAGAGACUUGUAGUGAACUUGAACAAGUCUCCUCGAGAAGUUUUUAAUGCUCUGAAGAAUCAGACUGUGGAUUUGGUCUUUACUGCUCAUCCGACUCAAGCUAUCCGAAGAUCUUUGCUUCAGAAGCAUGCAAGGAUCCGCAAUUGUUUGUCUCAGUUGUAUGCUAAAGACAUUACACCCGACGAUAAAGAGGAGCUGGAUGAAGCUUUAGAGAGGGAGAUUCAAGCUGCUU